rnacentral:rRNA from 1 species
UAGGGAAUCUUCGGCAAUGGGGGCAACCCUGACCGAGCAACGCCGCGUGAGUGAAGAAGGCUUUCGGAUCGUAAAGCUCUGUUGUAAGAGAAGAACGUGUGUGAGAGUGGAAAGUUCACACAGUGACGGUAACUUACCAGAAAGGGACGGCUAACUACGUGCCAGCAGCCGCGGUAAUACGUAGGUCCCGAGCGUUGUCCGGAUUUAUUGGGCGUAAAGCGAGCGCAGGCGGUUUAAUAAGUCUGAAGUUAAAGGCAGUGGCUUAACCAUUGUUCGCUUUGGAAACUGUUAAACUUUAGUGCAGAAGGGGAGAGUGGAAUUCCAUGUGUAGCGGUGAAAUGCGUAGGUAUAUGGAGGAACACCGGUGGCGAAAGCGGCUCUCUGGUCUGUAACUGACGCUGAGGCUCGAAAGCGUGGGGAGCAAACAGG